rnacentral:rRNA from 1 species
UUCGGUGUCUAUUGCAGUAGGGUCCACCUCUUCCCAUUCCGAACAGAGAAGUUAAGACUACUAGCGCUGAUGGUACUGCCCUAUUGAGGGUGGGAGAGUAAGUCGACGCCACUUUUUAGAAAGCCUUGUUCCAAACGGAAUGAGGCUUUUUUAGUUUAUAG